rnacentral:rRNA from 1 species
GGGGAAUAUUGCACAAUGGGGGAAACCCUGAUGCAGCGACGCCGCGUGAGUGAAGAAGUAUUUCGGUAUGUAAAGCUCUAUCAGCAGGGACGAAUAAAUGACGGUACCUGACUAAGAAGCCCCGGCUAACUACGUGCCAGCAGCCGCGGUAAUACGUAGGGGGCAAGCGUUAUCCGGAUUUACUGGGUGUAAAGGGAGCGUAGACGGUGAUGUAAGUCAGAUGUGAAAGCCCGGGGCUCAACUCCGGGACUGCAUUUGAAACUAUGUUGCUAGAGUGCAGGAGAGGUAAGUGGAAUUCCUAGUGUAGCGGUGAAAUGCGUAGAUAUUAGGAGGAACACCAGUGGCGAAGGCGGCUUACUGGACUGUAACUGACGUUGAGGCUCGAAAGCGUGGGGAGCAAAC